rnacentral:rRNA from 1 species
ACAGUGGACGCGAGCAUCUGUGGCCAAGUUUUUAAGGGCGCACGGUGGAUGCCUUGGCACCAGGAACCGAUGAAGGACGUGGGAGGCCACGAUAGUCCCCGGGGAGUCGUCAACCAGGCUUUGAUCCGGGGGUUUCCGAAUGGGGAAACCCGGCAGUCGUCAUGGGCUGUCACCCGCUGCUGAACUCAUAGGCAGUGUGGAGGGAACGCGGGGAAGUGAAACAUCUCAGUACCCGCAGGAACAGAAAACAACCGUGAUUCCGGGAGUAGUGGCGAGCGAAACUGGAUGAGGCCAAACCGUAUGUGUGUGAUACCCGGCAGGGGUUGCGCAUGCGGGGUUGUGGGAUCUCUCUUCUACGGUCUGCCGGCCGUGGGACGAGUCAGAAACCGUUGAUGUAGGCGAAGGACAUGCGAAAGGUCCGGCGUAGAGGGUAAGACCCCCGUAGUCGAAACAUCAGCGGCUCGUUUGAGAGACACCCAAGUAGCACGGGGCCCGAGAAAUCCCGUGUGAAUCUGGCGGGACCACCCGCUAAGCCUAAAUAUUCCCUGGUGACCGAUAGCGGAUAGUACCGUGAGGGAAUGGUGAAAAGUACCGCGGGAGCGGAGUGAAAUAGUACCUGAAACCGUGUGCCUACAAGCCGUGGGAGCGUCGCGCAAGAACUUCGGUUCUUGCGUCGUGACUGCGUGCCUUUUGAAGAAUGAGCCUGCGAGUUAGCGGUGUGUAGCGAGGUUAACCCGUGUGGGGAAGCCGUAGCGAAAGCGAGUCCGAAGAGGGCGUUUGAGUUGCACGCUCUAGACCCGAAGCGGAGUGAUCUAGCCAUGGGCAGGUUGAAGCGGCUGUAAGAGGUCGUGGAGGACCGAACCCACCAGGGUUGAAAACCUGGGGGAUGACCUGUGGUUAGGGGUGAAAGGCCAAUCAAACUCCGUGAUAGCUGGUUCUCCCCGAAAUGCAUUUAGGUGCAGCGUCGUGUGUUUCUUGCCGGAGGUAGAGCACUGGAUAGGCGAUGGGCCCUACCGGGUUACUGACCUUAGCCAAACUCCGAAUGCCGGUAAGUGAGAGCGCGGCAGUGAGACUGUGGGGGAUAAGCUCCAUGGUCGAGAGGGAAACAGCCCAGAGCAUCGACUAAGGCCCCUAAGCGUACGCUAAGUGGGAAAGGAUGUGGAGUCGCAGAGACAACCAGGAGGUUGGCUUAGAAGCAGCCACCCUUGAAAGAGUGCGUAAUAGCUCACUGGUCUAGUGAUUCCGCGCCG